AACGAACGCUGGCGGCGCGCCUAAUACAUGCAAGUCGAGCGAGAAGACGUAGCAAUACGUUUGUAAAGCGGCGAACGGGUGAGGAAUACAUGGGUAACCUACCCUCGAGUGGGGAAUAACUAGCCGAAAGGUUAGCUAAUACCGCGUACGCUCCUUGGACUUCGGUUCAGGGAGGAAAGCGAUACCGUGGGUAUCGCGCUCUUGGAUGGGCUCAUGUCCUAUCAGCUUGUUGGUGAGGUAACGGCUCACCAAGGCUUCGACGGGUAGCUGGUCUGAGAGGACGAUCAGCCACACUGGCACUGCGACACGGGCCAGACUCCUACGGGAGGCAGCAGUAAGGAAUAUUGGACAAUGGGCGCAAGCCUGAUCCAGCGAUGCCGCGUGGGGGGA
rnacentral:rRNA from 1 species